CUCGGAUCAGGUAGGAAUACCCGCUGAACUUAAGCAUAUCAAUA
rnacentral:rRNA from 2 species